CAACUUAAAGUGCUUACCCAACCCAACUAACCCAUUAAAUCCAUUUCCUAAUACCAUUUCCCUCGUCACUCUUUCAGCUCAAACAUACCCAGAGUUAAGAUGUAUGCGUCCACUAUCAGUCAACGGACCAGGUCCCUUGACAUAGUAAGAACAGUAAUGAAAGCGUAAACACUAAGGAAAACAACACAAGCAAUUUACGUGGAAACUCCCUUGCUCAAGGGCGGUGAAAACCACGACGUGUCCUCACAUGCUUUCAAUCCAACUCCAUUUCACUCAAACGGAGCAACAAUUUAAAUUACAAU
rnacentral:lncRNA from 1 species